UGAGGUCUUAGCUUAAUUAAAGUACCUGAGUUGCAUUCAGGAGAUGUAGUAUAGUGUUUUACAGGCCUU
rnacentral:tRNA from 1 species